CCUACGGGAGGCAGCAGUGAGGAAUAUUGGUCAAUGGACGAGAGUCUGAACCAGCCAAGUCGCGUGAAGGAUGACUGCCCUAUGGGUUGUAAACUUCUUUUAUAAGGGAAUAAAACGCGGCACGUGUGCCUUUUUGCAUGUACUUUAUGAAUAAGGAUCGGCUAACUCCGUGCCAGCAGCCGCGGUAAUACGGAGGAUCCGAGCGUUCUCCGGAUUUAUUGGGUUUAAAGGGUGCGGAGGUGGGUUGUUAAGUCAGUUGUGAAAGUUUGCGGCUCAACCGUAAAAUUGCAAUUGAUACUGGCAGUCUUGAGUACAGGUGAGGUAGGCGGAAUGCGUGGUGUAGCGGUGAAAUGCAUAGAUAUCACGAAGAACCCCGAUUGCGAAGGCAGCUUACUGAACUGUGACUGACAUUGAUGCUCGAAAGUGUGGGUAUCAAACAGGAUUAGAUACCCCGGUAGUC
rnacentral:rRNA from 1 species